AGAGUUUGAUCCUGGCUCAGGAUGAACGCUGGCGGCGUGCUUAACACAUGCAAGUCGAACGAAGCAUUUUUAAUGAGACCUUCGGGUGGAAUUAGGGAUGACUGAGUGGCGGACGGGUGAGUAACGCGUGGGUAACCUGCCUCACACAGGGGGACAACAGUUGGAAACGGCUGCUAAUACCGCAUAAGCGCACGGGAUCGCAUGAUCCAGUGUGAAAAACUCCGGUGGUGUGAGAUGGACCCGCGUCUGAUUAGGUAGUUGGUGGGGUAACGGCCCACCAAGCCGACGAUCAGUAGCCGACCUGAGAGGGUGACCGGCCACAUUGGGACUGAGACACGGCCCAAACUCCUACGGGAGGCAGCAGUGGGGAAUAUUGCACAAUGGGCGAAAGCCUGAUGCAGCGACGCCGCGUGAGCGAAGAAGUAUUUCGGUAUGUAAAGCUCUAUCAGCAGGGAAGAAAAUGACGGUACCUGAGUAAGAAGCCCCGGCUAACUACGUGCCAGCAGCCGCGGUAAUACGUAGGGGGCAAGCGUUAUCCGGAUUUACUGGGUGUAAAGGGAGCGUAGACGGAAUAGCAAGUCAGAUGUGAAAGGCAUGGGCUUAACCUGUGGACUGCAUUUGAAACUGCCAUUCUGGAGUGCCGGAGAGGUAAGCGGAAUUCCUAGUGUAGCGGUGAAAUGCGUAGAUAUUAGGAGGAACACCAGUGGCGAAGGCGGCUUACUGGACGGUAACUGACGUUGAGGCUCGAAAGCGUGGGGAGCAAACAGGAUUAGAUACCCUGGUAGUCCACGCGGUAAACGAUGAAUACUAGGUGUUGGGGGACAAAGUCCUUCGGUGCCGCCGCAAACGCAAUAAGUAUUCCACCUGGGGAGUACGUUCGCAAGAAUGAAACUCAAAGGAAUUGACGGGGACCCGCACAAGCGGAGGAACAUGUGGUUUAAUUCGAUGAUACGCGAGGAACCUUACCCGGGCUUGAAUUGCAGAGGAAGGAUUUAGAGAUAAUGACGCCCUUCGGGGUCUCUGUGAAGGUGCUGCAUGGUUGUCGUCAGCUCGUGCCGUGAGGUGUCGGCUUAAGUGCCAUAACGAGCGCAACCCCUCUCCGUAGUUGCCAUCGGGUGAUGCCGGGCACUCUGCGGACACUGCCACCGUAAGGUGUGAGGAAGGUGGGGAUGACGUCAAAUCAGCACGGCCCUUACGUCCGGGGCUACACACGUGUUACAAUGGGGCAUACAGAGCGCCGGCGGCCGGCAACGUCCGUCCAAUCGCGAAAGUGUCCCCCAGUUCGGACUGGGGUCUGCAACCCGACCCCACGAAGCUGGAUUCGCUAGUAAUCGCGCAUCAGCCAUGGCGCGGUGAAUACGUUCCCGGGCCUUGUACACACCGCCCGUCAAGCCAUGAAAGCCGGGGGCGCCUGAAGUCCGUGACCGCAAGGGUCGGCCUAGGGCGAAACCGGUGAUUGGGGCUAAGUCGUAACAAGGUA
rnacentral:rRNA from 1 species